rnacentral:ncRNA from 1 species
CCGAUAGAGGCGCGGCGAUCAUGACGCGCGCGGGGGAGCUUGUUCAGAGGGCUGUGAAUCCGCGCAAAAGGGAUCGUCGCCGAAAUGCAGGUUCGUUUCUGGAGCGGCCUGUGUUGGGGGCCAGCAGAAUAUGCUGUCCACUGUCACAUGGAAAUGUGGAGUGCUAUCG